CAAGUCGAACGGCAGCACGGGUGCUUGCACCUGGUGGCGAGUGGCGAACGGGUGAGUAAUACAUCGGAACAUGUCCUGUAGUGGGGGAUAGCCCGGCGAAAGCCGGAUUAAUACCGCAUACGAUCUACGGAUGAAAGCGGGGGACCUUCGGGCCUCGCGCUAUAGGGUUGGCCGAUGGCUGAUUAGCUAGUUGGUGGGGUAAAGGCCUACCAAGGCGACGAUCAGUAGCUGGUCUGAGAGGACGACCAGCCACACUGGGACUGAGACACGGCCCAGACUCCUACGGGAGGCAGCAGUGGGGAAUUUUGGACAAUGGGCGAAAGCCUGAUCCAGCAAUGCCGCGUGUGUGAAGAAGGCCUUCGGGUUGUAAAGCACUUUUGUCCGGAAAGAAAUCCUUGGUUCUAAUAUAGCCGGGGGAUGACGGUACCGGAAGAAUAAGCACCGGCUAACUACGUGCCAGCAGCCGCGGUAAUACGUAGGGUGCGAGCGUUAAUCGGAAUUACUGGGCGUAAAGCGUGCGCAGGCGGUUUGCUAAGACCGAUGUGAAAUCCCCGGGCUCAACCUGGGAACUGCAUUGGUGACUGGCAGGCUAGAGUAUGGCAGGGGGGGGUAGAAUUCCACGUGUAGCAGUGAAAUGCGUAGAGAUGUGGAGGAAUACCGAUGGCGAAGGCAGCCCCCUGGGCCAAUACUGACGCUCAUGCACGAAAGCGUGGGGAGCAAACA
rnacentral:rRNA from 1 species